GAGUUUGAUCCUGGCUCAGGACGAACGCUGGCGGCGUGCCUAAUACAUGCAAGUCGAGCGAAUCUUUGGGAGCUUGCUCCCUAUAGAUUAGCGGCGGACGGGUGAGUAACACGUGGGUAACCUGCCUGUAAGACUGGGAUAACUUCGGGAAACCGGAGCUAAUACCGGAUAAUUUCUUUUCUCGCAUGAGAAGAGAUGGAAAGAUGGUUUCGGCUAUCACUUACAGAUGGACCCGCGGCGCAUUAGCUAGUUGGUGAGGUAACGGCUCACCAAGGCCACGAUGCGUAGCCGACCUGAGAGGGUGAUCGGCCACACUGGGACUGAGACACGGCCCAGACUCCUACGGGAGGCAGCAGUAGGGAAUCUUCCGCAAUGGACGAAAGUCUGACGGAGCAACGCCGCGUGAGCGAAGAAGGCCUUCGGGUCGUAAAACUCUGUUGUUAGGGAAGAACAAGUACGAGAGUAACUGCUCGUACCUUGACGGUACCUAACCAGAAAGCCACGGCUAACUACGUGCCAGCAGCCGCGGUAAUACGUAGGUGGCAAGCGUUGUCCGGAAUUAUUGGGCGUAAAGCGCGCGCAGGUGGUUCUUUAAGUCUGAUGUGAAAGCCCACGGCUCAACCGUGGAGGGUCAUUGGAAACUGGGGAACUUGAGUGCAGAAGAGGAAAGUGGAAUUCCAAGUGUAGCGGUGAAAUGCGUAGAGAUUUGGAGGAACACCAGUGGCGAAGGCGACUUUCUGGUCUGUAACUGACACUGAGGCGCGAAAGCGUGNGGAGCAAACAGGAUUAGAUACCCUGGUAGUCCACGCCGU
rnacentral:rRNA from 1 species